rnacentral:misc_RNA from 1 species
UAUUCCCUUGCUCAUUCUCCUUUCUCAGGUAGCAGCUAUGCUGGCGGUCAAUGGGCUGCUGGUGAUGAACCAUUGUAUUACAUUGUAUCCCCAAAGGAUGUGGUUAUUGCAAAACCAAGGGAUGCUGAAGAUCACAUUGCAUGGCUUCUACAACAUGGUUGGCAUGAAAAAGCUUUAGCAGCAGUUGAAGCAGGUCAGGCUCGAAGUGAACUCCUUGAUGAGGUGGGAUCUAGAUAUCUUGAUCAUUUGAUUGUGGAAAGGAAAUAUGCUGAAGCUGCAUCUUUGUGUCCCAAAUUGUUACAAGGAUCUGCAUCAGCAUGGGAGAGAUGGGUUUUCCAUUUUGCUCAUCUCCGUCAGCUUCCUGUUUUGGUUCCAUAUAUACCAACAGAAAACCCAAGACUGCGUGAUACUGCUUAUGAGGUUGCUCUAGUAGCACUGGCAACAAAUUCAUCUUUUCAUAAGGAUCUUUUGUCAACUGUUAAAUCUUGGCCACCUGUGAUUUAUUCUGCAUUACCUGUCAUUUCUGC